rnacentral:tRNA from 1 species
GGAGCGGUGUCCGAGCGGCCGAAGGAGACGGUCUUGAAAACCGUUGUGCGGCAACGCACCGUGGGUUCGAAUCCCACCCGCUCCGCCA